rnacentral:tRNA from 1 species
GAGGGUAUAGCUCAGUGGUGGAGUGCAUGCCUAGCUGGCAGGCACGAGGUCCUGGGUUCCAUCCCUGGUACCUCUA